UACGUAGGGUGCGAGCGUUGUCCGGAAUUAUUGGGCGUAAAGGGCUCGUAGGCGGUUUGUCACGUCGGGAGUGAAAACUCGGGGCUUAACCCCGAGCCUGCUUCCGAUACGGGCUGACUAGAGGUAUGCAGGGGAGAACGGAAUUCCUGGUGUAGCGGUGAAAUGCGCAGAUAUCAGGAGGAACACCGGUGGCGAAGGCGGUUCUCUGGGCAUUGCCUGACGCUGAGGAGCGAAAGUGUGGGGAGCGAACAGG
rnacentral:rRNA from 1 species